UCGAGCGAACAGACGAGGAGCUUGCUCCUCUGACGUUAGCGGCGGACGGGUGAGUAACACGUGGAUAACCUACCUAUAAGACUGGGAUAACUUCGGGAAACCGGAGCUAAUACCGGAUAAUAUAUUGAACCGCAUGGUUCAAUAGUGAAAGACGGUUUUGCUGUCACUUAUAGAUGGAUCCGCGCCGCAUUAGCUAGUUGGUAAGGUAACGGCUUACCAAGGCAACGAUGCGUAGCCGACCUGAGAGGGUGAUCGGCCACACUGGAACUGAGACACGGUCCAGACUCCUACGGGAGGCAGCAGUAGGGAAUCUUCCGCAAUGGGCGAAAGCCUGACGGAGCAACGCCGCGUGAGUGAUGAAGGUCUUCGGAUCGUAAAACUCUGUUAUUAGGGAAGAACAAAUGUGUAAGUAACUAUGCACGUCUUGACGGUACCUAAUCAGAAAGCCACGGCUAACUACGUGCCAGCAGCCGCGGUAAUACGUAGGUGGCAAGCGUUAUCCGGAAUUAUUGGGCGUAAAGCGCGCGUAGGCGGUUUUUUAAGUCUGAUGUGAAAGCCCACGGCUCAACCGUGGAGGGUCAUUGGAAACUGGAAAACUUGAGUGCAGAAGAGGAAAGUGGAAUUCCAUGUGUAGCGGUGAAAUGCGCAGAGAUAUGGAGGAACACCAGUGGCGAAGGCGACUUUCUGGUCUGUAACUGACGCUGAUGUGCGAAAGCGUGGGGAUCAAACAGGAUUAGAUACCCUGGUAGUCCACGCCGUAAACGAUGAGUGCUAAGUGUUAGGGGGUUUCCGCCCCUUAGUGCUGCAGCUAACGCAUUAAGCACUCCGCCUGGGGAGUACGACCGCAAGGUUGAAACUCAAAGGAAUUGACGGGGACCCGCACAAGCGGUGGAGCAUGUGGUUUAAUUCGAAGCAACGCGAAGAACCCUUACCAAAUCUUGACAUCCUCUGACCCCUCUAGAGAUAGAGUUUUCCCCUUUCGGGGGACAGAGUGACAGGUGUGCAUGGAUUGUCGUCAGCUCGUGUCGUGAGAUGUGGGUAGUCCCGCACGAGC
rnacentral:rRNA from 1 species